UUGGGGCCAGAUUAAGUGGGGAGGGGGUUUGGUUUUUUCUCGUCAUUGCUUUACUGUUUGAGUAAUGGCAGGAUUUAAUAUUGUGAUGUAAAUUUGGAAAAAAUUGCUUUAUUCUUUAUGCUCGUUCUUUGCUUCAAUACUGGAGGUUUACAUUCUGUACAGACUGCAAUGACAAGGAAAGAAAUAUAUGAACUUGAAAAGCAGCAGGAUUGCCUUUAGGCAAAAUAACCUGUAUGUUGUUCUGGUUUUUCAGAGAAACAUGAUCCAUCAUCCUUCUAUACCUUUGUAUGGAUGUAUAGGUACGUUAUGGAGCAACAUCAUGCUCCCAAUGUAGGCAAUUGGGUCUUGGUUAGAAACUAUAGAAACAAAUUGAAAAAAAAAUACAGCAGAAAUAAAAAAGAAAAAAAAAAUCCAGAUUUCCUUUUCUGAAGACUCGAAAAGAUUUAGCUGUGCAUGAAUAAGAAGACUCAAUAUUUUUUCAACUUCUUUUAUUAUCUGUGCUGAUGAAUUUGUUGAAGUCUCUUCCUAUGCUUUUGGCUGCCAUCUCAAGUUCAAGCCCGCUGCUUUCUGGCAGAAACUUGAUAGUGAAGGAAAUUACCAAUCAUCUUGAUUGUGAAGGAACUCAUUAUCAUGAUUGUAGAGCAUUGCAGGAUAGACUGGAUCUUGCAAAAACCUCUGUACAGUUGAUCGGGUGAAAAAGCCAGUAUCUGGAGUUCGUAUCCUGCAGGACAAGUUCCCGACAAGCUUCUUGAAUUCUGUAUGGAAUUUAUGCAAUUGGCAGUCAAAAGUAGGAUUUAGGCCACUAGUGAUGAACCACUUCCCAACGAAAUCUACAACAUUAAAGUUCUUGACAAGAAUGGCAGGAUCAGGGACGGAAUUCCAACAUCAGACUUCUAAGGUACACACUUCUUUCAUGAGAUGAACACUCAUUGAAUUCAUCAACUACUCAAAAGCUUGAUCUGCAAAAUAUCUAAAGAGGGUUACCCGUUGAAUAACAUUAUCUAUCUCACCAGGUAUAAGGUAGAACAAGAUUAUUGGACAAUCAAACACUCAAAAGCUUAAGCUGAUAGAGAGGGGUUUGUUUGUUCUAAAAGAGAUGUUACACUGUUUCCUUUAAAAGCUUAUUCUGUUAGUGAUCAUUCUGCUUAUACAUAUUCUUUCUGCAGUAUCUGCGAGCAUCUCAAGAGAAAGAACAGAACUUACCUGGCAUUCAUCUGCAGUAUGGAUGCAAGCAACAUUAGCUGCACAGUAUGGGUUUGCAAUGCACCUUGCCAAUUCUAGCCUGACAAUAACAAGCUGGUAAGUAAAAGGUAAUGAUGAAGGAUCAAAAUGCACUUGCUGGUUAAAUGGAAGGAAAUCCCUUUGCUACCAAAAAUUUCAACAACUAAUUCCCAUCAAUACCACCACCUCCUCAUCAAAUCUCAAUAAUAACAUGUUUUUGGACAUGGCAGUGAUGGUGGAGGCACAAGGGGAGCAGAUGGAUGAUAUUGAGCACCAUGUGUUGAAAGCUAGUCACUAUGUGAAGGAUGGUACCAAAGAGCUCAAGAGUGCUAAAGAUCACCAGAAGAGCAGCAGGAAAUGGAUGUGUAUCGGUAUCAUUCUCCUUUUGAUAAUCAUUCUUGUGAUUGUUAUACCUAUUGUUACUAGCUUUAGCUACUCUUGAAUUGGAGGGCCUUAUGGAGGAUUUAAUGACCUGUUAUUCCUUAUUUUGGGGCCAGAUUAAGUGGGGAGGGGGUUUGGUCUCUUGUCAUUGAGUAAUGGUAGGAUUUAAUGUUGUGAUGUAAAUUUGGAAAAAUUGUUUUAUUCUUUAUGCUCGUUCUUUGCUCCAAUACUGGAAGUUUACAUUCUGUACAGAUAGUUGUUUUAGAACAGGUGUCUGCAAUGACUUUUAGGGAAAGAAAUAUAUGAACUUGAAAAGCAGCAUGAUUGCCUUUAGGCAAGAUAACCUGUAUGCUGUUCUGGUUUUUCAGAGAAACAUGAUCCGUCAUCCUUCUUUACCUUUGUAUGGGUGCGUUUUUGGAGCAACUUCAUGAUCCAAUGUAAGGUACGUUAUGGAGCAACAUCAUGAUUCAAUGUAGGGAAUUCAGGACGCAAUUGGGUCUUGGUUAGAAACUAUAUAAACAAAUUGAAAAAAGAAAUGCAGCAGAAAUAAAAAAAUUUCCUUUUCUCUGCCUGGGAUGGUUGCAAGGAAACUAGACAUUUAUAACUAUGUAAGUUGUCUCUGCAACAGAAAAAAAUUCAGUUGCAUUGAUCUCUCAAGUGAAAAUCAUGGAGUAGUUUUUUUAGCUCAUGGGCUUGGCUAGCUUUUGAGGCAUAAGUAAUAAUAAGGUCACAAGUUGUCAUGAUUAGGAGAGAAUUUCUUUCCUCAACUAAGCUUGCCUUCCUGCACACAACAAUCUUCUUCUUUCAUGUCUUGUCAUCAGAUGGCUUCCCUUCACCAAAUGGCACAUCAGGUUUUCCUUGAUCUCCUCCAUCCUUUUCUGUUUCUUUUCUAGUAUUCAUAUGCUUUGAAUAAUUAAAUAACAAAAAUGGAAGAAGUUUCUAUGUAUGUGCCCUUGGCUCUAACAACGAACUUUAAUUGCAGGUAACUGCGUCUUGGACUUCAAGGAAUUCCCUUACGAACCAACCGGCGAGUGCAUAGGCCACCAGGAGAAAAUCAAGGACUGGACAGCUUCAGCACAACAUUAUGCUGUCGUAAUCUGCUCAACGAUCUGACCAAACUCUUAGCGUCGCGUGCAGUAUCGAACCCAAAUGUUGACAUCUUGAUUCCAAAAGAUCAAUGGAUGGAAUGUAUCCAUGGCUUUCCUGGACAAAACUCUGUAUCACCGGCUUCUUGUGGGUUUUUGAUGACCUCUACAAUGAGAGAAGUGCUUGCUUGAGAUUUUCUUUGUCAUCGAUAACGGAACAGUGGUAUUACAAAAAAGCAUUAGCCUCGUGUACGAAUUUUAGCUCUUCAUACGAUUAUGGGUGUAGCAGCUGCAUAGAGGCAAUAUCCGAUUUCAGGGAUUAUCAGUUACGAAUAUCAAAUGUCAGCGCUAAUGACAAGAAGGCAAAAAUAGCAUGUGGGGUGGCAGUUCUUAUUUCUGUUGUGGCUGAAAAUUUGAAGAAUAGCGCUUGGAUUGAUGAUUUCUACAGGUGUUUGCCAGCUUCAGAUGCAUUCAGUAAGGGCCAUUACUCCUUCUUUUAACUCUUAUUUCUCGAUUUACCUCCCAUUUCACUUCCUGAUGCUUAGAGAAUUGUCUAUGAACAGAUGAAGGAUACACGCAAAUCAAAUGUAAGUACAACUAUUCUGUUUUCUCAUUGAAAGAGUUUAUUCAUUUCUUGGAAUUUUAUAUGGUCGCGUGGAUCAUCUUGUGAAGGAUAAACACUCAUAAAGAUCUUUAGCUUAUCAGAUUCUCUGGUGAAAGUGGUAUUUGGUAUUUUUAUAGCAAUCAUCACAUUGUUGCUGGUCUAUCAGUAUCCUUCUCCUUUUGAUAAUCAUUCUUGUGAUUGUUAUACCUAUUGUUACUAGCUUUAGCUACUCUUGAAUUGAAGGGUCUUAUGGAGGAUUUAAUGACCUGUUAUUUCUUAUGGCUUUCUUGCUUUACUUUUGGAGGAUAUGCUUGAAUCCCUUAUUUUAGGGCCAGAUUAAGUGCGGAGGGGGUUUGGUUUUCUCUCGUCAUUGCUUUUCUCUUUUGAGUAAUGGUGGGAUUUAAUGUUGUGGUGUAAAUUUAGAAAAAUUGCUUUAUUCUUUAUGCUCGUUCUUUGCUCCAAUCCUGGAAUAUACAGACAGUUGUUUUAGAACAGGUGUCUGCAAUGACUUUUAGGGAAAGAAAAAUAUGAACUUGAAAAGCAGCAGGAUUUAGCUGUGCAUUUCUGAAAUAAUAAAAGGCAUGAAUAAGACGACUCAAUAUUUUCUUUUAAGUUGUACUAUAUCUAAACUUCGCUUCCAUUUUCAGAUCACUCAACGUAUCAUAUCCAUUUCUUCUUUACUUGGUUUUCUUAAGAAAACCUCCUCGUCUUUUUGGAGUUUAUAAAUCCUUCUGCCAAUCUCCGGAACAAGCUCAACUCAGUCUACCUAUAUUAUGAAAAGGAGGGGGUUUGGUUUUCUUCCUCUCAGUUUCUUCAACUUCCUUUAUUAUCUGUGCCUUUCCUCUUCUAUUUCUUCAACUUCCUUUAUUAUCUGUGCUGAUGAAUUUGUUGAAGUCUCUACGGGCUGCCAUCUCAAGUACAAGCACGAUGCUUUCUGGCAGAACUGCACUUCUUGUGUACACACCGUCCCAUGCAUCAUUUCUGCCUCGGUAGUACACAAAUAUGUAAUCAUCUAGUUUAUUUUCUAUCUUCGAUUGACAGAAUAUAUCUGGAGACAUAAUUAUAAUAGCCAUUAAUCUAUCUAGUUUCUGAUGCUUAAUGAUGACUCAGCAUUAUAUUUUUGCAGGAAGUACUUGAAAUGGUUUGACUUGAAUCCACAAUGAAAUUGACCAAAAAAAAUAAAGGAGAAUGGGGAGAAGGAGACCAGUCAUCUUAAUAGUGAAGGAACUCAUUGUCAUGAUUGUAGAGCAUUGCAGGACACACUGGAUCUUGCACAAACCUAUGUACAGUUGAUCGGGUGAAAAGGCUGCUAGUGACGAACCACUUCCCAACGAAAUCUGCAACAUUAAAGUUCUUGACAAGAAAGGCAGGAUUAGGGACGGAAUCCCCGAACAUCAGACUUCUGAGGUACACACUUAUUUCAUGAGACUGCACACUCAUUGAAUUCAUCAACAAGAAAAUGACAAGCAAAGAAGAAAAAAGAAAAGGAAUCAAAGAAGAAGCAUUUACUAAAAUCAUCAAGAAAUAUUUACAUACAUUGAAAGAAGAAUACAAGCAUCAUCUAAGUUAGCAGCUGAAAACUGUGAGCUGUAUCAACAAUGACAUUGGGUUCUUAAGGGUACAAAACUUAAACACGGUGAGAAAUGGGGAGGGGGGGGCUAACCUUGAGCAAGAGGUGGAGCUUUUCAUGGCAGCAAGGGAAAAAAUGGAUGCAGAGUGCCAAAAAUAGGUGAAAAAAAAGCGCGCGGAGGUCUGGGAAGGCAGCGAAGGUGGAAAAGACAGACAUCAUCAUGUGGACUCAAACCAUGUAACGUAUUCAUUUUCUUCCUCGUCUCUGUUUUUUAGUUAGUUACUAGUGAUUUUCUUUUAGGAUGUCACAUUCCAGUUUGAAAUAUAUUUUUAUUUAGUUUUUUAUUACUAUUAAAAAAAUAUUUAUGAGAUAUACAAUUGUUAAAAUUCUAGACAGAAAAAAUACAUAUUCUAAAAAUAUAUAUAUUUUGUUAAACUAAUUAUUCUUUUCUUAUUCAUAUAUUUUUUUAUUUGAUUAAACAUAUUAUUUAUUAGGAGUUCAUUUUUGAAUACCUAUUGUCUAGCUUUAGCUACUCUUGAAUUGGAGGGCCUUAUGGAGGAUUUAAUGACCUGUUAUUCCUUAUGGCUUUCUUGCUUUACUUUUGGAGGAUAUGCUUUAAUCCCUUAUUUUGGGGUCAGAUUAAGUGGGGAGGGGGUUUGGUUUUCUCUCGUCAUUGCUUUUCUCUUUGAGUAAUGGUAGGAUUUAAUGUUGUGAUGUAGAUUUAGAAAAAUUGCUUUAUUCUUUAUGCUCGUUCUUUGCUCCAAUCCUGGAAGUUUACAUUCUGUACAGACAAUUUUAGAAGAGGUGUCUUUAGGGAAAGAAAAGUAUGAACUUGAAAAGCAACAGGAUUUCCUUUAGGCAAGAUAACCUGCAUGUUGUUCUGGUUUUUCAGAGAAACAUGAUCUAUCAUCCUUCUUUACCUUUGUAUGGAUGUAUAGGUACGUUAUGGAGCAACAUCAUGCUCCAAUGUAGGAAAUUCAGGAGGCAAUUGGGUCUUGGUUAGAAACUAUAGAAACAAAUUGAAAAAAGAAAUGCAGCUUUCCUUUUCUGGAGACUCGAAAAGAUUUAGCUGUGCAUUUCUGAAAUAAAAAAAGGCAUGAAUAAGAAGACUCCAUAUUUUCUUUUAAGUUGAACUCUAUCUAAACUUCGCUUCCAUUUUCAGAUCACUCAACAUAUCAUAUCCAUUUCUUCUUUACUUGGUUUUCUUAAGAAAACCUCGUCGUCUUUUUGGAGUUAAUAAAUCCUUCUGCCAAACUCUCGGGAACAAGCUCAACUCAGUCUACCUAUAUUAUCAAAAAGAGUGGGUUUGGUUUUCUUCAACUUCCUUUAUUAUCUGUGCUGAUGAAUUUGUUGAAGUCUCUACGGGCUGCCAUCUCAAGUUCAAGCACGAUGCUUUCUGGCAGAACUGCACUUCUUGUGUACACAACGUCCCAUUAAGUGGGGAGGGGGUUUGGUUUUCUCUCGUCAUUGCUUUUCUCUUUUGAGUAAUGGUGGGAUUUAAUGUUGUGAUGUAAAUUUGGAAUAAUUGCUUUAUUCUUUAUGCUCGUUCUUUGCUUCAAUACUGGAGGUUUACAUUCUGUGCAGACAGUUGUUUUAGAACAGGUGUCUGCAAUGACUUUUAGGGAAUAAAUAUUAUGACUUGAAAAGCAGCAGAUUGCCUUUAGGCAAGAUAACCUGUAUGUUCUGGUUUUUCAGAGAAACAUGAUCCAUCAUCCUUCUUUACCUUUGUAUGGGUGCGUUUUUGGAGCAACUUCAUUAUCCAAUGCAAGGUACGUUAUGGAGCAACAUCAUGAUCCGAUGUAGGGAAUUCAGGAGGCAAUUGGGACUUGGUUAGAAACCAUAGAAACAAAUUGAAAAAAGAAAUGCAGCAGAAAUAAAAAAGAAAAAAAAAAUCCAGAUUUCCUUUUCUGGAGACUCAAAAAGAUUUAGCUGUGCAUGAAUAAGAAGACUCAAUAUUUUUUCAACUUCUUUUAUUAUCUGUGCUGAUGAAUUUGUUGAAGUCUUCCUAUGCUUUUGGCUGCCAUCUCAAGUUCAAGCCCACUGCUUUCUAGCAGAAACUUGAUAGUGAAGGAAAUUACCAGUCAUCUUGAUUGUGAGGGGAACUCAUUGUCAUGAUUGUAGAGCAUUGCAGGAUAGACUGGAUCUUGCAAAAACCUCUGUACAGUUGAUCGGGUGAAAAAGCCAGUAUCUAGGGUUCGUAUCCUCCAGGACAAGUUCCCGACAAGCUUGUUGGAUUCUGUAUGAAAGUUAUGCAAUUGGCAGUCAAAAGUAGGAUUUAGGCCACUAGUGAUGAACCAACUUCCCAACGAAAUCUGCAACAUUAAAGUUCUUGACAAGAAUGGCAGGAUCAGGGACGAAAUUCCAACAUCAGACUUCUGAGGUACAAGUAAUAAUAAGGUCACAAGUUGUCAUGAUUAGGAGAGGAUUUCUUUCCUCAACUAAGCUUGCCUUCCUGCACACAACAAUCUUCUUCUUUCAUGUCUUGUCAUCAGAUGGCUUCCCUUCACCAAAUGGCACAUCAGGUUUUCCUUGAUCUCCUCCAUCCUUUUCUUUUUCUUUUCUAGUAUUCAUAUGCUUUGAAUAAUUAAAUAACAAAAAAUGGAAGAAGUUUCUAUGUAUGUGCCCUUGGCUCUAACAACGAACUUUAAUUGCAGGUAACUGCGUCUUGGACUUCAAGGAAUUCCCUUACGAACCAACCGGCGAGUGCAUAGGCCACCAGGAGAAAAUCAAGGACUGGACAGCUUCAGCACAACAUUAUGCUGUCGUAAUCUGCUCAACGAUCUGACCAAACUCUUAGCGUCGCGUGCAGUAUCGAACCCAAAUGUUGACAUCUUGAUUCCAAAAGAUCAAUGGAUGGAAUGUAUCCAUGGCUUUCCUGGAGAAAACUCUGUAUCACCGGCUUCUUGUGGGUUUUUGAUGACCUCUACAAUGAGAGAAGUGCUUGCUAGAGAUUUUCUUUGUCAUCGAUAACGGAACAGUGGUAUUACAAAAAAGCAUUAGCCUCGUGUACGAAUUUUAGCUCUUCAUACGAUUAGAGGCAAUAUCCGAUUUCAGGGAUUAUCAGUUACGAAUAUCAAAUGUCAGCGCUAAUGACAAGAAGACAAAAAUAUUAUGUGGGAUGGCAGUUCUUAUUUCUGUUGUGGCUGAAAAUUUGAAGAAUAGCGAUUGAUGAUUUCUACAGGUGUUUGCCAGCUUCAGAUGCAUUCAGUAAGGGCCAUUGCUGCUUCUUUUAUAUCUUAUUUCUCGAUUUACUUCCCAUUUCACUUCCUUAUGCUUAGAGUAUUGUCUAUGAACAGAUAAAGGAUACAAGCAAAUCAAAUGUAAGUACAACUAUUCUGUUUUCUCAUUGAAUCAUUUCUUGGAAUUUUAUUUGGUCGCGUGGAUCAUCGUGUGAAGGAUAAACACUCAUAAAGAUCUUUAGCUUAUCAGAUUCUCUGGUGAAAGUGAUAUUUUCUUUUUUUAUAGCAAUCAUCACAUUGUUGCUGGUCUUUCUUCUGAUAAAAUACGUGAGCAAGGGCAAGAAGAAGCGCCCUAAACCUGUAACUCCAUCUAAAGAGAGGAGUUCUUGAAACGUGCAAUCCAGGAGCAUGGGAAAGGGAAGGUGUUGGAGACUGUGGUGGAGAUACAGGACAGGCAUGAUGCUGCCAAAGAGAUUGAGUUGGAGCUGCACCAGGUGUUUUUGGACAUGGCAGUGAUGGUGGAGGCACCAGAUGGAUGAUAUUGAGCACCAUGUGUUGAAAGCUAGUCACUAUGUGAAGGAUGGUACCAAAGUGCUCAAGGGUGCUAAAGAUCACCAGAAGAGCAGCAGGAAAUGGAUGUGUUUCGGUAUCAUUCUCCUUUUGAUAAUCAUUCUUGUGAUUGUUAUACCUAUUGUUACUAGCUUUAGCUACUCUUGAAUUGAAGGGUCUUAUGGAGGAUUUAAUGACCUGUUAUUCCUUAUGGCUUUCUUGCUUUACUUUUGGAGGAUAUGCUUGAAUCCCUUAUUUUGGGGCCAGAUUAGGUGUUGGAGACUGUGGUGGAGAUACAGGACAGGCAUGAUGCUGCCAAAGAGAUUGAGAAGAGCUUGUUGGAGCUGCACCAGGUGUUUUUGGACAUGGCAGUGAUGGUGGAGGCACAAGGCGAGCAGAUGGAUGAUAUUGAGCACCAUGUGUUGAAAGCUAGUCACUAUGUGAAGGAUGGUACCAAAGAGCUCAAGAGUGCUUAAAGAUCACCAGAAGAGCAGCAGGAAAUGGAUGUGUAUCGGUAUCAUUCUCCUUUUGAUAAUCAUUCUUGUGAUUGUUAUACCUAUUGUUACUAGCUUUAGCUACUCUUGAAUUGGAGGGCCUUAUGGAGGAUUUAAUGACCUGUUAUUCCUUAUGGCUUUCUUGCUUUACUUUUGGAGGAUAUGCUUGAAUCCCUUAUUUUGGGGCCAGAUUAAGUGGGGGGAGGGGAGGGGGUUUGGUUUUCUCUCGUCAUUGCUUUUCUCUUUGAGUAAUGGUAGGAUUUAAUGUUGUGAUGUAAAUUUAGAAAAGUUGCUUUAUUCUUUAUGCUUUGCUUCAAUACUGGAUGUUUACAUUCUGUACAGACUGCAAUGACUUUUAGGGAAAGAAAAAUAAGAACUUGAAAAGCAGCAGGAUUAUUGCCUUUAGGCAAGAUAACCUGUAUGUUGUUCUGUUUUUUCAGAGAAACAUGAUCCAUCAUCCUUCUUCUCCUUUGUAUGGGUGCGUUUUUGCAGCAACUUCAUGAUCCAAUGUAAGGUACGUUAUGGAGCAACAUCAUGAUCCAAUGUAGGGAAUUCAGGAGGCAAUUGGGUCUUCGUUAGAAACUAUAGAAACAAAUUGAAAUAAGAAAUGUAGCAGAAAAAAAAAAAGAAAAAAAAAUCCAGAUUUCCUUUUCUGGAGACUCGAAAAGAUUUAGCUGUGCUUUUCUGAAAUAAUAAAACGCAUGAAUAAGAAGACUCAAUAUUUUCUUUUAAGUUGAACUCUAUCUAAACUUCGCUUCCAUUUUCAGAUCACUCAACAUAUCAUAUCCAUUUCUUCUUUACUUGGUUUUCUUAAGAAAACCUCCUCGUCUUUUUAAGUUGAACUCAGUCUACCUAUAUUAUCAAAAGGAGGGGGUUUGGUUUUCUUCAACUUCCUUUACUAUUUGUGCCUUUCCUCUUCUAUUUCUUCAACUUCCUUUAUUAUCUGUGCUGAUGAAUUUGUUGAAGUCUCUACGGGCUGCCAUCUCAAGUUCAAGCACGAUGCUUUCUGGCAGAACUGCACUUCUUGUGUACACAUGCAUCAUUUCUGCCUUGGUAGUACACAAAUAUGUAAUCAUCUUGUUUAUUUUCUAUCUUCGAUUGACAGAAUAUAUCUGGAGACAUAAUUAUGAUAGCCAUUAAUCUAUCUAGUUUCUGAUGCUUAAUGAUGACUCAGCAUUAUAUUUUUGCAGGAAGUACUUGAUAUGGUUUGACUUGAAUCCAUAAUGAAAUAGAUAAAAAAAUAAAAAAAAGGAGAAUGGGGAGAAGGAGAUUACCAGGCAUCUUAAUAGGGAAGGAACUCAUUGUCAUGAUUGUAGAGCAUUGCAGGAUACACUGGAUCUUGCACAAACCUCUGUACAGUUGAUCGGGUGAAAAAGCCAGUAUCUGGAGUUCGUAUCCUCCAGGACAAGUUCCCGACAAGCUUGUUGGAUUCUGUAUGGAACUUAUGCAAUUGGCAAUCAAAGGUAUCAAAAGUAGGAUUUAGGCCACUAGUGAUGAACCACUUCCCAAAGAAAUCUGCAACAUUAAAGUUCUGGACAAGAAUGGCAGGAUCAGGGACGGAAUCCCCGAACAUCAGACUUCUGAGGUACACACUUCUUUCAUGAGACUGCAUACUCAUUGAAUUUGUCAACAAGACUGUUUUCAAAUAGAUCCCCACAUUUGAUCUGCACACUUCAUUUAUGAGACUGCACACUCAUUGAAUUCAUCAACAAGACUGUUUUCAAAUAGGUGGGACAUUUGAUCUGCAAAAUAUCUAAAGACUUCUGAGGUACACACUUCUUUCAUGAGACUACACACUCGUUUGAAUUCAUCAACAAGACUGUUUUCAAAUAAAUCCCUACAUUUGAUCUGCAAAAUAUCUAAAGAGGGUUACUCGUUGAAUAUCUAUCUCACCUGGUAUAAGGCAGAACAAGAUUGUUGGACAGCCAACUACUCAAAAGCUUAAGCUGACAGAGAGAGGGGUUUGUUUGAUAUUUUAGAGAUGCCACCCUUUGCCCUGCAGGCCAAGUGCAAAUAUAUGGUACACUGUUUCCUGUAAAAGCUUCUUAUGCUGUUAGUGAGCAUUCUCUUAUACAUAUUCUUUCUGCAGUAUCUGCAAGCAGCUCAAGAGAAAGAACAUAACUCACAACGUAUGCAUGUAUGGAGGCAAGCAACGUUAGCAGCACAAGAUGGGUUUGCAAUGCACUUUGCCAAUUCUUGCCUGGCAAUAACAAGCUGGUAAGUAAAAGACAAUGAUGAAGGAUCAAAAUGCACUUGCCGGUUAAAUGGAAGGCAAUCCCUUUGCUACCAAUAAAUGGAAGGCAAUCCCUUUGCUACCAAAAAUUGCAACAAAUUCCCAUCAAUACCACCACCUCCUCAUCAAAUCUCAACAGAAAAUGCUAACCUAAACCCAUUCAUAUCAUUAAAUCUCAACAGAAAAUGCUAAUCUAAACCCAUUUAUAUGCUAGUGUGUCUUUUGAAUUGCAUUCAUAUCAUCAAAUCUCAACAGAAAAUGCAAACCUAAACCCAUUCAUAUCAUCAAAUCUCAAAAAAAAAUACUAACCUAAACUCAUUCAUAUGCUAGUGUAUCUUUUGAAUUGCAUUCAUAUCAUCAAAUCUCAACAGAAAAUGCUAACCUAAACCCAUUCAUAUGCUAUUGUAUCCCCAUUCAUAUCAUCAAAUCUCAACAGAAAAUGCUAACCUAAAUCCAUUCAUAUGCUAGUAUAUCUUUUGAAUUGCAUAACAGUACGCCACUGUAAACCACAUUCAGAUAGAUUACCGAAAUAUAUCCUCCAUAAAAUGUUAAACCAUGAUUUUAAGGAAAUUUUCAUAUUUCAAUGUUAUAAAUUUAACUUAUAUUAGAAUUAUGUCAUUCACUGUUCUCUAACAUUAAAGGAUUAUGAUGUUUGACCUACUCUAGAAUCCAAACAGCUAAAAAAAAAGUUAUUCACCACUAAUUCUGUUGCUUAACAUAGAGGCUCUAAUUUGAAUAAUAAAAUAUCGGUAUGGGCAAUCCAAAGCAGCACCAAAAAUAGCUUCAGGUAAACAUUUUAAAUUAAUAAAGUUAGAUUUAGGUAAACAUUUUAAAUUAAUAAAUUUGUUCAUUCAAUUAUUCAUUCUUCUGUUUCAAACCAACUAGUCGACUUGGAGUUAUAAUUACUGAAGGCACUAAUUUGUUCCUUCAAUUCGAAUUUUACAUGUUAUCAAAGAGCCAUUCAACUCAUCAAUAGAUCCAAAAUUUCUAUGGUACGGUCUCGGUCCAAGUCAGACACAGCAUUGGCAUUUACAUGCAUUGUCCACCUUCUGCUAAAAUAAGAAAAGAUUGAUUGCUAAACAUGUGCAAAGAAUAAAAAAAGAAAAAGAAUCAAAGAAGCAUUUACUAAAAUCAUCAAGAAAUAUUUACAUACAUUGAAAGAAGAAUACAAGCAUCAUCUAAGUUAGUAGCUGAAAACAAGCUGUAUCAACAAUGACAUUGGGUUUUUAAGGAUACAAAACUUAAACACGGUGAGAAAAAUGGGGAGGGGGGCUAACCUUGAACAGGAGGUGGAGCUUUUCAUGGCAGCAAGGGAAAAAGUGGAUGCAGAGUGCCAAAAUAGGUGAAAAAAAAGCGAGCGGAGGUCUGUGAAGGCAUUGAAGGUGGAAAAGACAGACAUCAUCGUGUGGACUCUAACCAUGUAAUGUUAUUCGUUUUCUUCCUCCUCUCUGUUUUUUAGUUAGUUACUACUUAUUUUCCUCCUCUCAGUUUCUUCAACUUCCUUUAUUAUCUCAUAUGUGCUUUCCUUUUCUAUUUCUUAAACUUCCUGUAUUAUCUGUGCUGAUGAAUUUGUUGAAGUCUCUUCCUAUGCUUUGGGCUGCCAUCUCAAGUUCAAGCACGAUGCUUUCUAGCAGAACUGCACUUCUUGUGUACACAAUGCAUCAUUUCUGCCCCGGUAGUACACAAAUAUAUAAUCAUCUUGUUUAUUUUCUAUCUUCGAUUGACAGAAUAUAUGUGGAGACAUAAUUAUGAUAGCCAUUAAUCUAUCUAGAUUCUGAUGCUUAAUGAUGACUCAGCAUUAUAUUUUUGCAGGAGGUACUUGAAAUUGUUUGACUUGAAUCCAUAAUGAAAUUGACAAAAAGAAAAAGAAAGGAGAAUGGGGAGAAGGAGAUUACCAGUCAUCUUAAUAGUGAAGGAACUCAUUGUCAUGAUUGUAGAGCAUUGCAGGAUACACUGGAUCUUGCACAAACCUCUGUACAGUUGAUCGGGUGAAAAGGCCGCUAGUGACGAACCACUUCCCAACGAAAUCUGCAACAUUAAAGUUCUUGACAAGAAAGGCAGGAUUAGGGACGGAAUCCCCGAACAUUAGACUUCUAAGGUACACACUUCUUUCAUGAGACUGCACACUCAUUGAAUUCAUUAACAAGACUGUUUUGAAAUAGGUCCCCACAUUUGAUCUGCAAAAUAUCUAAAGACUUCUAAGGUACACACUUUUUUCAUGAGACUGCACACUAAUAACAAGACUGUUUUCAAAUAGAUCUCCACAUUUGAUCUGUAAAAUAUCUAAAGAGGGUUACUCGUUCAAUACCAUUAUAUAUCUCACCAGGUAUAAGGCAGAACAAGAUUAUUGCACAACCAACUACUCAAAAGCUUAAGCUGACAAAGAGGGGGGUUUGUUUGAUCUAAAAGAGCAUUUUGCCCUGCAGGCCAAGUGCAAAUAUAUGGUACACUGUUUCCUUUAAAAGCUUCUUAUGCUGUUAGUGAGCAUUCUGCUUAUACAUAUUCUUUCUGCAGUAUCUGCAAGCAUCUCAAGGGAAAGAACAUAACUCACCUGGCAUUCAAUCUCAUCAGGCCCGUUAUUGCAUGUAUGGAGGCAAGCAACGUUAGCAGCACAACAUGGGUUUGCAAUGCACCUUGCCCAUUCUAGCCUGGCUAAAUAACAAGCUGGUAAGUAAAAGACCAUGGAGGAUCAAAAUGCACUUGCCGGUUAAAUGGAAGGAAAUCCCUUUGCUACCAAAAAUUUCAACAACUAAUUCCCAUCAAUACCACCCACCUCCUCAUCAAAUCUCAACAGAAAAUGCUAAACUAAACCCAUUCAUAUCAUCAAAUCGCAACAGAAGUUAGUGUAUCUUUUAAAUUGCAUUCAUAUCAUUAAAUCUCAACAGAAAAUGCUAACUUGAACCCAUUCAUAUCAUCAAAUCUCAACAGAAAAUGCUAACUUAAACCCAUUCAUAUGCUAGUGUAUCUUUUGAAUUGCAUUCAUAUCAUCAAAUCUCAACAGAAAAUGCUAACCUAAACCCAUUCAUAUCAUCAAAUGUCAAUAGAAAAUACUAACCUAAACUCAUUCAUAUGCUAGUGUAUCUUUUGAAUUGCAUAACAGUACGCCAUUCAUAUGUUAGUGUAUCUUUUAAAUUGCAUUCAUAUCAUCAAAUCUCAACAGAAAAUGCUAACCUAAACCCAUUCAUAUGCUAGUGUAUCUUUUGAACUGCGUAACAGUACGCCACUAUAAACCACAUUCAGAUAGAUUAUUGAAAUAUAUCCUCCAUAAAAUGUUAAACCAUGAUUUUAAGGAUAUUUUCAUACUGAAAUGUUAGAAAUUUAACUUAUAUUAGAAUUAUGUCAUUCACUGUUCUCUAACAUUAAAGGAUUAUGAUGUUUGACCUACUCUACAAUCCAAACAGCUAAAAAAAAGUUAUUCACCACUAAUUUUGUUGCUUAACAUAGAGGCUUUGAUUUGAAUAAUAAAAUAUCGGUAUGUGCAAUCCAAAGCAGCACCAAAAAUAGCUUCAGGUAAACAUUUUAAAUUAAUAAAUUUGUUCAUUCAAUUAUUCAUUCUUCUGUUUCAAACCAACCAGUCGACUUGGAGUUACAAUUGCUGAAGGCACUAAUUUGUUACUUCAAUUCGAAUUUUACAUGUCAUCAAAGAGCCAUUCAACUCAUCAAUAGAUCCAAAAUUUCUAUGGUACGGUCUCGGUCUAAGUCAGACACAACAUUGAAAUUUACAUGCAUUCUGCUAAAAUAAGAAAAAGAUUACUAAAGAAAAGAUUUAUUGCUAAACGUGUGCAAAGAAUAAAAAAGAAAAAGAAUCAAAGAAGCAUUUACUAAAAUCAUCAUGAAAUAUUUACAUACAUUGAAAGAAGAAUACAAGCAUCAUCUAAGUUAGUAGCUGAAAACUGUGAGCUGUAUCAACAAUGACAUUGGGUUCUUAAGGGUACAAAACUUAAACACGGUGAGAAAUGGGGAGGGGGGCUAACCUUGAACAGGAGGUGGAGCUUUUCAUGGCAGCAAGGGAAAAAGUGGACGCAGAGUGCUAAAAUAGGUGAAAAAAGAGCGUGCGGAUGUCUGUGAAGGAGGAAAAGACAGACAUCAUCGUGUGGACUCUAACCAUGUAAUGUAUUCGUUUUCUUCCUCCUCUCAGUUUUUUAGUUAGUUACUACUUAUUUUCCUCCUCUCAGUUUCUUCAACUUCCAUUAUUAUCUCAUCUGUGCUUUCCUCUUCUAUUUCUUCAACUUCCUUUAUUAUCUGUGCUGAUGAAUUUGUUGAAGUCUCUUCCUAUGCUUUUGGCUGCCAUCUCCAGUUCAAGUACAAUGCUUUCUUGCUGAACUGCACUUCUUGUGUACACAACGGCGCCGCCAUAUCCAUCCCAUGCAUCAUUUCUGCCCCGGUAGUACACAAAUAUGUAAUCAUCAUGUUUAUUUUCUAUCUUCGAUUGACAGAAUAUAUGUGGAGACAUAAUUAUGAUAGCCAUUAAUCUAUCUAGAUUCUGAUGCUUAAUGACUCAACAUUUUAUUUUUGCAGGAAGUUCUUGAAAUUGUUUGACUUGAAUCCAUAAUGAAAUUGACAAAAAGAAAAAGAAAGGAGAAUGGGGAGAAGGAGAUUACCAGUCAUCUUAAUAGUGAAGGAACUCAUUGUCAUGAUUGUAGAGCAUUGCAGGAUACACUGGAUCUUGCACAAACCUCUGUACAGUUGAUCGGGUGAAAAAGCCAGUAUCUGGAGUUCGUAUCCUCCAGGACAAGUUCCCGACAAGCUUGUUGGAUUAUGUAUGGAACUUAUGCAAAACGGCAGUCAAAGGUAUCAAAAGUAGGAUUUAGGCCAUCGGGUGAAAAAGCCAGUAUCUGGAGUUCGUAUCAUCCUCCAGGACAAGUUCCCGACAAGCUUGGUGGAUUCUGUAUGGAACUUAUGCAAUUGGUAGUCAAAGGUAUCAAAAGUAGGAUUUAGGCCACUAGUGAUGAACCAUUUCCCAACGAAAUCUGUAACAUUAAAGUCCUUGACAAGAAUGGCAGGAUCAGGGACGGAAUUCCAACAUCAGACUUCUGAGGUACACACUUCUUUCAUGAGACUGCACACUCAUUGAAUUCAUCAACAAGACUGUUUUCAAAUAGGUCCCCACAUUUGAUCUGCAAAAUAUCUAAAGACUUCUAAGGUACACACUUCUUUCAUGAGAUUGCGUUUGAAUUCAUCAACAAGACUGUUUUCAAAAAGAUCCCUACAUUUGAUCUACAAUAUAUCUAUAGAGGGUUUACUCGUUCAAUACCAUUAUCUAUCUCACCAGGUAUAAGGCAAAACAAGAUUAUUGGACAACCAACUACUCAAAAGCUUAAGCUGACAAAAAGGGGUUUGUUUGAUCUCCCUUUGCCCUGCAGGCCAAGUGCAAAUAUGUGGUACACUGUUUCCUUUAAAAGCUUAUGCUGUUAGUGAGCAUUCUGCUUAUACAUAUUCUUUCUGCAGUAUGUGCGAGCAUCUCAAGAGAAAGAACAGAACUCACCUGGCAUUCAGUCUCAUCAGGCCGGUUAAUUGCAUGUAUGGAGGCAAGCAACGUUAGCAGCACAAGAUGGGUUUGCAAUGCACUUUGCCAAUUCUAGCCUGGCAAUAACAAGCUGAUAAGUAAAAAGGCAAUGAUGAAGGAUCAAAAUGCACUUGCCUGUUAAAUGGAAGGAAAUCCUUCGCGACCAAAAAUUUCAACAACUAAUUCCCAUGAAUACCACCACCUCCUCAUCAAAUCUAAUCAGAAAAUGCUAACCUAAACCCAUUCAUAUCAUCAAAUCUCAACAAAAAAUGAUAACCUAAACCCAUUCAUAUGCUACUGUAUCUUUUGAAUUGCAUUCAUAUCAUCAAAUCUCAACAGAAAAUGCUAACCUAAACCCAUUCAUAUAAUCAAAUCUCAGCAGAAAAUGCUAGCCUAAACCCAUUCAUAUGCUAGUGUAUCUUUUGAAUUGCAUUCAUAUAAUCAAAUCUCAACAGAAAAUACUAACCUAAACCCAUUCAUAUUAUAUUGUAUCCCCAUUCAUAUCAUCAAAUCUCAACAGAAAAUGCUAACCUAAACCCAUUCAUAUGCUAGUGUAUCUUUUGAAUUGUAUAACAGUACGUCACCUGAAACCACAUUCAGAGACAAAUUACUGAAAUAUAUCCUACAUAAAAUAUUAAACCAUGAUUUUAAGGAUAUUUUUUUACUGAAAUGUUAGAAAAUGUUAGGCAAAAAUAGUAUGUGGGGUGGGCAGUUCUUUUCUGUUGUGGCUGAAAAUUUGAAGAAUAGCGCUUGGAUUGAUGAUUUCUACAGGUGUUUGCCAGCUUCAGAUGCAUUGAGUAAGGGCCAUUACUACUUCUUUUAAAUCUUAUUUCUCGAUUUACUUCCCAUUUCACUUCUUGAUGCUUAGAGUAUUGUCUAUGAACAGAUGAAGGAUACGUGCAAAUCAAAUGUAAGUACAACUAUUCUGUUUUCUCAUUGAAAGAGUUUCUUCAUUUCUUGGAAUUUUAUAUGGUCGCGUGGAUCAUCUUGUGAAGGAUAAACACUCAUAAAGAUCUUUAGCUUAUCAGAUUCUCUGGUGAAAGUGGUAUUUGCUAUUUUUAUAGCAAUCAUCACCUUGUUGCUGGUCUAUCAGUAUCAUUCUCCUUUUGAUAAUCAUUCUUGUGCUUGUUAUACCUAUUGUUACUAGCUUUAGCUACUCUUGAAUUGGAGGGCCUUAUGGAGGAUUUAAUGACCUGUUAUUCCUUAUAGCUUUCUUGCUUUACUUUUGGAGGAUAUGCUUUAAUCCCUUAUUUUGAGGCCAGAUUAAGUGGGGAGGGGGUUUGGUUUUCUCUCGUCAUUGCUUUACUCUUUGAGUAAUGGUAGGAUUUAAAGUUGUGAUGUAAAUUUAGAAAAAUUGCUUUAUUCUUUAUGCUCGUUCUUUGCUCCAAUCCUGGAAGUUUACAUGAUCCAUCAUCCUUCUUUACCUUUAUAUGAAUGUAUAGGUACGUUAUGGAGCAACAUCAUGAUCCAUUCCAAUGUAGGGAAUUCAGGAGGCAAUUGGGUCUUGGUUAGACACUAUAGAAACAAAUUGAAAAAAGAAAUGCAGCAGAAAAAAAAAAGAAAAAAAAAAUCCAGAUUUCCCUUUAUGGGGAUUCAAAAAGAUUUAGCUGUGCAUUUCUGAAAUAAUUCAAGGCAUGAAUAAGAAGACUCAAUAUUUUCUGUUAAGUUGAACUCUAUCUAAACUUCGCUUCCAUUUUCAGAUCACUCAACAUAUCAUAUCCAUUUCUUCUUAACUUGGUUUUCUUAAGAAAACCUCCUCGUCUUUUUGGAGUUAAUAAAUCCUUCUGCCAAACUCUCGGGAACAAGCUCAACUCAGUCUACCUAUAUUAUCAAAAGCAGGGGGUUUGGUUUUCUUCAACUUCCUUUAUUAUCUGUGCCUUUCCUCUUCUAUUUCUUCAACUUCCUUUAUUAUCUGUGCUGAAGAAUUUGUUGAAGUCUCUACGGGUUGCCAUCUCAAGUUCAAGCACGAUGCUUUCUGGCAGUACUGCACUUCUUGUGUACACAACGUCCCAUGCAUCAUUUCUGCCUUCGUAGUACACAAAUAUGCAAUCAUCUUGUUUAUUUUUUAUCUUCGAUUGACAGAAUAUAUCUGGAGACAUAAUUAUGAUGAUAGCCAUUAAUCUAUCUAGUUUCUGAUGCUUAAUGAUGACUCAGCAUUAUAUUUUUGUAGGAAGCACUUGAAAUGGUUUGACUUGAAUCCAUAAUGAAAUUGACAAAAAGAAAAAGAAAGGCGAAUGGGGAGAAGGAGAUUACCGGUCAUCUUAAUAGUGAAGGAGCUCAUUGUCAUGAUUGUAGAGCAUUGCAGGAUAUACUGGAUCUUGCACAAACCUCUGAAAAGGCCACUAGUGACGAACCACUUCCCAACGAAAUCUGCAACAUUAAAGUUCUUGACAAGAAAGGCAGGAUUAGGGACGGAAUCCCCGAAUAUCAGACUUCUAAGGUACACACUUCUUUCAUGAGACUGCACACUCAUUGAAUUCAUUAACAAGACUGUUUUGAAAUAGGUCCCCACAUUUGAUCUGCAAAAUAUCUAAAGACUUCAAAGUACACACUUUUUUCAUGAGACUGCACACUCAUUGAAUUCAUUAACAAGACUGUUUUCAAAUAGGUCCCCGCAUUUGAUCUGCAAAAUAUCUAAAGACUUCAAAGUACACACUUUUUUCAUGAGACUGUACACUCAUAACAAGACUGUUUUCAAAUAGAUCUCCACAUUUGAUCUGCAAAAUAUCUAAAGAGGGUUACUCGUUGAAUACCAUUAUCUGUCUCACCAGGUAUAAGGCAGAACAAGAUUAUUGGACAACCACCUACUCAAAAGCUUAAGCUGACAAAGGGGGGGUUUGUUUGAUCUAAAAGAGAUGCCACCCUUUGCCCUGCAGGCCAAGUGCAAAUAUAUGGUACACUGUUUCCUUUAAAAGCUUCUUAUGCUGUUAGUGAGCAUUCUGCUUAUACAUAUUCUUUCUGCAGUAUCUGCAAGCAUCUCAAGGGAAAGAACAUCACUCACCUGGCAUUCAAUCUCAUCAGGCCCCCUUAUUGCAUGCAUGGAGGCAAGCAACGUUAGCAGCGCAAGAUGGGUUUGCACUGCACUUUGCCCAUUCUAGCCUGACAAUAACAAGACAAUGAUGAAGGAUCAAAAUGCACUUGCCGGUUAAAUGGAAGGAAAUCCCUUCGCUACCAAAAAUUUCAACAACUAAUUCCCAUCAACACAACCACCUCCUCAACAAAUCUCAACAGAAAAUGCUAACCUAAACGCAUUCAUAUCAUCAAAUCUCAACAGAAAAUGCUAACCUAAACCCAUUCAUAUGCUAGUGUAUUUUUUGAAUUGCAUUCAUAUCAUCAAAUCUCAACAGAAAAUGCUAACCUAAACCCAUUCAUAUCAUCAAAUCUCAACAGAAAAUACUAACCUAAACUCAUUCAUAUGCUAGUAUAUCUUUUGAAUUGCAUAAUAGUACGCCAUUCAUAUGUUAGUGUAUCUUUUAAAUUGCAUUCAUAUCAUCAAAUCUCAACAGAAAAUGCUAACCUAAACCCAUUCAUAUCAUCAAAUCUCAAUAGAAAAUGCUAACCUAAAUCCAUUCAUAUGCUAGUGUAUCUUUUGAAUUGCGUAAUAGUACGCCACUGUAAAUUACAUUCAGAUAGAUUAUUGAAAUAUAUCCUCCAUAAAAUGUUAAACCAUGAUUUUAAGGAUAUUUUCAUACUGAAAUGUUAGAAAUUUAACUUAUAUUAGAAUUAUGUCAUUCACUGUUGUCUAACAUUAAAGGAUUAUGAUGUUUGACCUACUCUACAAUCCAAACAGCUAAAAAAAAGUUAUUCACCACUAAUUCUAUUGCUUACCAUAGAGGCUUUGAUUUGAAUAAUAAAAUAUCGGUAUGUGCAAUCCAAAGCAGCACCAAAAAUAGCUUCAGGUAAACAUUUUAAAUUAAUAAAUUUGUUCAUUCAAUUAUUCAUUCUUCUGUUUCAAACCAACCAAUCGACUUGGAGAUACAAUUUGUUCCUUCAAUUUGAAUUUUACAUGUUAUCAAAGAGCCAUUCAACUCAUCAAUAGAUCCAAAAUUUCAAUGGUACGGUCUUGGUCUAAGUCAGACACAUCAUUGAUAUUUACAUGCAUUCUGCUAAAAUAAGAAAAGAUUACUAAAGAAAAGAUUGAUUGCUAAACAUGUGCAAAGAAUAAAAAAGAAAAAGAAUCAAAGAAACAUUUAUUAAAAUCAUCAAGAAACAUUUACUAAAAUCAUCAAGAAAUAUUUACAUACAUUGAAAGAAGAAUACAAGCAUCAUCUAAGUUAGUAGCUGAAAACUGUGAGCUGUAUCAACAAUGACAUUGGGUUCAAAACUUAAACACGGUGAGAAAUGGGGAGGGGGGCUAACCUUGAACAGGAGGUGGAGCUUUUCAUGGCAGCAAGGGAAAAAGUGGAUGCAGAGUGCCAAAAUAGGUGAAAAAAGAGCGCGCGGAGGUCUGUGAAGGCAGUGAAGGUGGAAAAGACAGACAUCAUCGUGUGGACUCUAACCAUGUAAUGUACUCGUUUUCUUCCUCCUCUCUGUUUUUUAGUUAGUUACUACUUAUUUUCCUCCUCUCAGUUUCUUCAACUUCCUUUAUUAUCUCAUCUGUGCUUUCCUCUUCUAUUUCUUCAACUUCCUUUAUUAUCUGUGCUGAUGAAUUUGUUGAAGUCUCUUCCUAUGCUUUUGGCUGCCAUCUCCAGUUCAAGUACAAUGCUUUCUUGCUGAACUGCACUUCUUGUGUACACAACGGCGCCGCCAUAUCCAUCCCAUGCAUCAUUUCUGCCCCGGUAGUACACAAAUAUGUAAUCAUCAUGUUUAUUUUCUAUCUUCGAUUGACAGAAUAUAUCUGGAGACAUAAUUAUGAUAGCCAUUAAUCUAUCUAAAUUUUGAUGCUUAAUGAUGACUUAACAUUUUAUUUUUGCAGGAAGUUCUUGAAAUUGUUUGACUUGAAUCCAUAAUGAAAUUGACAAAAAGAAAAAGAAAAAGAAAGAAGAAUGGGGAGAAGGAGAUUACCAGUCAUCUUAAUAGUGAAGGAACUCAUUGUCAUGAUUGUAGAGCAUUGCAGGAUACACUGGAUCUUGCACAAACCUCUGUACAGUUGAUCGGGUGAAAAAGCCAGUAUCUGAAGUUCGUAUCCUUCAGGACAAGUUCCCGACAAGCUUGUUGGAUUCUGUAUGGAACUUAUGCAAAAUGGCAGUCAAAGGUAUCAAAAGUAGGAUUUAGGCGAUCGGGUGAAAAAGCCAGUAUCUGGAGUUCGUAUCAUCCUCCAGGACAAGUUCCUGACAUGGUUGUUGGAUUCAGUAUGGAACUUGUGCAAUUGGCAGUCAAAGGUAUCAAAAGUGGGAUUUAAGCCACUAGUGAUGAACCACUUCCCAAUGAAAUCUGCAACAUUAAAGUUCUUGACAAGAAUGGCAGGAUCAGGGACGAAAUUCCAACAUCUGACUUCUGAGGUACGCACUUCUUUCAGGAGACUGGCAACUCAUUGAAUUCAUCAACAAGACUGUUUUCAAAUAGGUCCCCAUAUUUGAUCUGCAAAAUAUCUAAAGAGGGUUACUCGUUGAAUACCAAUCUAUCUCACCAGGUACAAGGCAGAACAAGAUUAUUGGACAACGAGAUGCCACCCUUCGCCCUGCAGGCCAAGUGCAAAUAUAUGGUACACUGUUUCCUUUAAAAGCUUCUUAUGCUGUUAGUGAGCAUUGUGCUUAUACAUAUUCUUUCUGCAGUAUCUGCAAGCAUCUCAAGAGAAAAAAUAGAACUCACCCGGCAUUCCAGUCUCAUCAGGCCCCUUAUUGCGCAUGUAUGGAGGCAAGAAACGUUAGCAGCACAAGAUGAUGGGUAUGCAAUGCACUUUGCCAAUUCUAGCCUGGCAAUAACAAAGCUGGUAAGUAAAAGAUAAUGAUGAAGGAUCAAAAUGCACUUGCCGGUUAAAUGGAAGGAAAUCCCUUCGCUACCAAAAAUUUCAACAACUAAUUCCCAUCAAUACCACCGUCUCCUCAUCAAAUCUCAACAUAAAAUGCUAACAUAAACUCAUUCAUAUUAUCAAAUCUCAUCAGAAAAUACUAACAUAAACCCAUUCAUAUCAUCAAAUCUCAACAGAAAAUGCUAACCUAAACCCAUUUAUAUGCUAGUGUAUCUUUAGAAUUGCAUUCAUAUCAUCAAAUCUCAACAAAAAAUGCUAACCUAAACCCAUUCAUAUCAUCAAAUCUCAACAGAAAAUAAUAUACUAUUGUAUCCCCAUUCAUAUCAUCAAAUCUCAACACAAAAUGCUAACCUAAACCCAUUCAUAUGCUAGUGUAUCUUUUGAGUUGCAUUCAUAUUAUAAAAUCUCAACAGAAAAUGCUAACCUAAACCCAUUCACAUCAUCAAAUCUCAACAGAAAAUGCUAACCUAAACCCGUUCAUAUGCUAGUGUAUCCCCAUUCAUAUCAUCAAAUCUCAACACAAAAUGCUAACCUAAACCCAUUCAUAUGCUAGUGUAUCUUUUGAGUUGCAUUCAUAUCAUAACAUCUCAACAGAAAAUGCUAACCUAAACCCAUUCAUAUGCUAGUGUAUCCCCAUUCAUAUCAUCAAAUCUCAACACAAAAUGCUAACCUAAACCCAUUCAUAUGCUAGUGUAUCUUUUGAGUUGCAUUCAUAUCAUAAAAUCUCAACAGAAAAUGCUAACCUAAACCCGUUCAUAUGCUAGUGUAUCUUUUGAGUUGCAUUCAUAUCAUAAAAUCUCAACAGAAAAUGCUAACCUAAACCCAUUCAUAUGCUAUUGUAUCUCCAUUCAUAUCAUCAAAUCUCAACAGAAAAUGCUAACCUAAACUCAUUCAUAUACUAGUGUAUCUUUUGAAUUGCAUAACAGGACGCUAUUCAUAUGCUAGUGUAUCUUUUGAAUUACAUAAUAGUAUGCCACUGUAAACCACAUUUAGAUAGAUUACUGAAAUAUAUCCUCCAUAAAAUGUUAAACCAUGAUUUUAAGGAUAUUUUCAUACUAAAAUGUUAGAAAUUGAACUUAUAUUAGAAUUAUGUCAUUCAUUGUUUUCUAACAUUAAAGGAUUAUGAUGUUUGACCUACUCUACAAUCCAAACAGCUAAAAAAAAGUUAUUCACCACUAAUUCUAUUGCUUAACAUAGAGGCUCUGAUUUGAAUAAUAAAAUAUCGGUAUGGGCAAUCCAAAGCAGCACCAAAAAUAGCUUCAGGGGUAAACAUUUUAAAUUAAUAAAGUUAGCUUCAGGUAAACAUUUUAAAUUAAUAAAUUUGUUCACUCAAUUCUUCAUUCUUCUGUUUCAAACCAACCAGUCGACUUGGAGUUACAAUUGCUGAAGGCACUAAUUUGUUCCUUCAAUUCGAAUUUUACAUGUUAUCAAAGAGCCAUUCAACUCAUCAAUAGAUCCAAAAUUUCAAUGGUACGGUCUCGGUCUAAGUCAAACACAGCAUUGGCAUUUACAUGCAUUGUCCACCUUCUGCUAAAAUAAGAAAAGAUUGAUUGCUAAACAUGUGCAAAGAAGAAAAAAGAAAAAGAAUCAAAGAAGCAUUUACUAAAAUCAUCAAGAAAUAUUUACAUACAUUGAAAGAAGAUACAAGCAUCAUCUAAGUUAGUAGCUGAAAUCUGUGAGCUGUAUCAACAAUGACAUUGGGCUUUUAAAGGUACAAAACUUAAACACGGUGAGAAAUGGGGAGGGGGGGGGUUAACCUUGAACAGGAGGUGGAUAUUUUCAUGGCAGCAAGGGAAAAAGUGGAUGCAGAGUGCCAAAAUAGGUGAAAAAAGAGCGCGCGGAGGUCUGUGAAGGCAGCGAAAGUGAAAAAGACAGACAUCAUCGUGUGGACUCUAACCUUGUAACGUAUUCGUUUUCUUCUUCCUCUAGUUUUUUUAGUUAGUUACUGGUUAUUUUCCUUUAGGAUUUCACGUUCCAGUUUAAAAUAUAUUUUUAUUUAGUUUUUUAUUGUUAUUAAAAAAAAUAUUUAUGAGAUAUACAAUUGUUAAAAUUCUAGACAGAAAAAAAAUACAUAUUCUAAAAAUAUAUAUAUUUUGUUAAACUAAUUAUUCUUUUCUUAUUCAUAUUUGAAUAAAAUAUAUUUAUUAGUAGUUCAUUUUUUUGAAUAAAAAACAAUGUUAAUGAGUUUAUUGAAUAAACAUCUUAAAAAUAAAAUCAAACCCAUUGCUAACCUAAAAGCACCCUUCAAUUUGUCCAAAAACCCAAAUUAUCAUAUCAUAUCACUUUCUUCUUUACCUCGCUUCCAUUUUCAGAUCACUCAACAUAUCAUAUCCAUUUCUUCUUUACUUGGUUUUCUUAAGAAAACUUCCUCGUCUUUUUGGAGUUAAUAAAUCCUUCUGCCAAUCUCUGGAACAAGCUCAACUCAGUCUACCUCUUCUCUUCUAUUUCUUCAACUUCCUCUAUGAAUUUGUUGAAGUCUUUUCCUAUGCUUUUGGCUGCCAUCUCAAGUUCAAGUGCACUGCUUUCUGGCAGAAACUUGAUAGUUAAGGAAAUUACCAGCCAUCUUGAUUGUGAAGGAACUCAUUGUCAUGAUUGUAGAGCAUUGCAGGAUAGACUGGAUCUUGCACAAACCUCUGUACAGUUGAUCGGGUGAGUGCAUAGGCCACCAGGAGAAAAUCAAGGACUGGACAGCUUCAGCACAACAUUAUGCUGUCGUAAUCUACUCAACGAUCUGACCAAGCGUCGCGUGCAAUAUCGAACCCAAAUGUUGACAUCUUGAUUCCAAAAGAUCAAUGGAUGGAAUGUAUCCAUGGCUUUCCUGGACAAAACUCUGUAUCACCGGCUUUUUGUGGCUCUGAUGACCUCUACAAUGAGAGAAGUGCUUGUUCGAGAUUUUCUUUGUCAUCGAUAACGGAAUAGUGGUAUUACAAAAAAGCAUUAGCCUUGUGCAUGAAUUUUAGCUCUUCAUACGAUUAUGGGUGUAGCAGCUGCACGAUUUCAGGGAUUAUCAGUUACGAAUAUCAAAUGUCAGCGCGAAUGACAAGAAGGCAAAAAUAUUAUGUGGGGUGGCAGUUCUUAUUUCUGUUGUGGCUGAAAAUUUGAAGAAUAGCGCUUGGAUUGAUGAUUUCUACAGGUGUUUGCCAGCUUCAGAUGCAUUCAGUAAGGGCCAUUACUACUAUUUCUUUUAAAUCUUAUUUCUCGAUUCACUUCCCAUUUCACUUCUUGAUGCUUAGAGUAUUGUCUAUGAACAGAUGAAGGAUACGAUACGUGCAAAUCAAAUGUAAGUACAACUAUUCUGUUUUCUCAUUGAAAGAGUUUAUUCAUUUCUUGGAAUUUUAUAUGGUCGCGUGGAUAAUCUUGUAAAGGAUAAACACUCAUAAAGAUCUUUAGCUUAUCAGAUUCUUUGGUGAAAGUGGUAUUUGGUAUUUUUAUAGCAAUCAUCACAUUGUUGCUGGUCUAUCUGUAUCAUUCUCCUUUUGAUAAUCAUUCUUGUGAUUGUUAUACCUAUUGUUACUAGCUUUAGCUACUCUUGAAUUGGAGGGCCUUAUGGAGGAUUUAAUGACCUGUUAUUCCUUCUGGCUUUCUUGCUUUACUUUUGGAGGAUAUGCUUUAAUCCCUUAUUUUGGGGCCAGAUUAAGUGGAGAGGGGGUUUGGUUUUCUCUCGUCAUUGCUUUACUCUUUGAGUAAUGGUAGGAUUUAAUAUUGUGAUGUAAAUUUAGAAAAAUUGCUUUAUUCUUUAUGCUCGUUCUUUGCUUCAAUACUGGAAGUUUACAUUCUGUACGGACAAUUUUAGAAGAGUUGUCUUUAGGGAAAGAAAAAUAUGAACUUGAAAAGCAACAGGUUGCCUUUAGGCAAGAUAACCUGCAUGAUGUUCUGGUUUUUCAGAGAAACAUGAUCCAUCAUCCUUCUUUACCUUUGUAUGGAUGUAUAGGUACGUUAUGGAGCAACAUCAUGCUCCAAUGUAGGAAAUUCAGGAGGCA
rnacentral:lncRNA from 1 species